rnacentral:rRNA from 1 species
UUGACCUCGGAUCAGGUGGGGAUACCCGCUGAACUUAAGCAUAUCAAUAAGCGGGAGGA